AUUCCUUUGGGAGCAGGUGGGAUUGGUCCGAAUUCCUAUGGAGCAAGUGGGAUUGGUCCGAAUUCCUUUUGAGCAGGUGGGAUUGGUCUGAAUUCCUUUGGAGCAGGUGGGAUUGGUCCGAAUUCCUUUGGAGCAGGUGGGAUUGGUCCGAAUUCCUUUGGAGCAGGUGGGAUUGGUCCGAAUUCCUUUGGGAGCAGGUGGGAUUGGUCCGAAUUCCUAUGGAGCAAGUGGGAUUGGUCCGAAUUCCUUUGGAGCAGGUGGGAUUGGUCCGAAUUCCUUUGGAGCAGGUGGGAUUGGUCAGAAUUCCUUUGGGAGCAGGUGGGAUUGGUCCGAAUUCCUUUGGAGCAGGUGGGAUUGGUCCGAAUUCCUUUGGGAGCAGGUGGGAUUGGUCCGAAUUCCUUUGGAGCAGGUGGGAUUGGUCAGAAUUCCUUUGGGAGCAGGUGGGAUUGGUCAGAAUUCCUUUGAAGCAUGUGGGAUUGGUCAGAAUUCCUUUGAAGCAGGUGGGAUUGGUCCGAAUUCCUUUGGGAAUAGGUGGGAUUGGUCAGAAUAUCUACAUCACCUACCAAAAUCUUUCUUAUUUUAGUUUGUUGGUUUGUUUUGCAUGUUGAUCUCAGACUCUUGUCCAUGUCCAGACACGAGCCUGUGCUGAUCCCCAGCCAUGAUCAGAUGGAGACGAUGGACGAUAGCGUGAAGAGGUACGACUCCACCGGAAUGUUCCACUGGUGUCCAUCCAGAGACAUUGAGAAGGUCACAUUGACCCGUAGCGAGGCAGCCAUGACGGUUCUAAGCGGUCAUGUGGUAGUGUGUAUUUUUGGCGAUGUGAAGUCGGCCGUGGUGGGUCUGAGGAACCUGGUGAUGCCUCUAAGAGCGAGUAACUUCCACU
ensembl:lncRNA